rnacentral:rRNA from 1 species
GGGUCAGUAGGCUGGUCGUGCCACCGGUACGUACUGGUCUCACUGAUUCCUCCUUCCUGAAGAACCGUAAUGCCAUUAAUUUGGUGUCGUGGGGAAACAGGACUGUUACUUUGAAAAAAUUAGAGUGUUUAAAGCAAGCUAACGCUUGAAUACAUUAGCAUGGAAUAAUGAAAUAGGACGAUCGAUCCUAUUUCGUUGGUUUCUAGGAUUGACGUA